GCACUUGCUCACUCCUAUCACCCCCUCUCCCCCCAAUCAAUGUUGUUACGACCGUAAUGACGUCUUCAAACACAUAUAUUACUGGUUACAUCAACAUUGUUUGGGAGGGGAGGGGGCUAUCUGAGAGAGAAUAAACGUAAAUAUGUGGAAAAUUUUCGGUCUCAUUUUAAAUUUCAUCUCUUGUAAGACAUCGUUUCAAUUAAUUUUGUCAAUGAUUGUCUGUAUUUUUCAUAAUUACUAUUUCUGUAUUUUUC